UACGAAGGGUGCAAGCGUUAUUCGGAAUCACUGGGCGUAAAGGGUGCGUAGACGGUUUGUUAAGUUUGUCGUUAAAGACUCUAGCCUAACUGGAGGGUUGCGAUGAAAACUGGCGGACUAGAGGGUGAGAGAGAGAAGUGGAAUUCCUGGAGUAGCGGUAAAAUGCGUGGAUCUCAGGAGGAACACCAAUGGCGAAGGCAGCUUCUUGGCUCAUUCCUGACGUUGAGGCACGAAAGCGUGGGGAGCAAACAGG
rnacentral:rRNA from 1 species